ACUGCGGAGGAUCAUUAACGAGUGAGGGUCUCUCAGGCCCGACCUCCCAACCCUCUGAUUACUGAACCUCUGUUGCUUCGGUGGACCCGCCUUCACCGGCCGCCGGAGGACCGCCGCGAGGCAUCCUCUGGUCCGCGUCCGCCGAUAGCCAACCUAUUAAACUCUUGAAUAACCAUGUCGUAUGUCUAAGUCAAAUGAUAAAUUAAAGCAAAACUUUCAACAACGGAUCUCUUGGUUCUGGCAUCGAUGAAGAACGCAGCGAAAUGCGAUAAGUAAUGCGAAUUGCAGAAUUCCAGUGAGUCAUCGAAUCUUUGAACGCACAUUGCGCCCUUUGGUAUUCCGAAGGGCAUGCCUGUUCGAGCGUCAUUAUCAACCCUCAAGCCUGUGCUUGAUGUUGGACGGCUUGGUCGAGUCCCUGGACUGGACCCCUCCUAAAGACAAUGACGGCGGCCUGUGGUUCCCCCGGUACACUGAGCUUUUAACUAGGCACGUAUCGGAUAAGGGCGUCCAGGACCCGGUCCCCCGUGCCUCCCGGCACACUUUCUAAGGUUGACCUCGGAUCAGGUAGGAAUACGCGCUGAACUUAAGCAUAUCAAAGCCCGGAGG
rnacentral:rRNA from 1 species